rnacentral:lncRNA from 1 species
CUUUGACUUUUUCGUAGAUCUAAUUGAGAUACACAUGAUUGUCAAUUUUUGUGUCAUUUUGCCAAAGCGUACAGGCGUGACAGUCAACAAUGUGUAUUUUCACCUUAGGGGACAAGAAAAAAUGGACUUUUUUCUCCUGCCAUGGGGGGGGCGCUCUUUUAGGGAGUAAAAAUUCCUUCACAAAUGUGUUGAUGGCUGGACAUUGCAUCAUCCUAGAAAACUUGGAGGCCAGUGAGGGCAAAAAUAAAGUUAUAAGACUUUUAAAUAUGUGGAUUUUUGGGUUAUCUUUGGCGCCCCCUAGAACCUAAACCGUGGGGUGCAGCGUCAUGAUUUGAAUAACUUUUAAUGGCCAUGGGGUGUAGAUUGGCCUGAGCAAAUGUGGUGCCGGUGGAACGAAAGCCUUCUGAGGAGUUAGCGAAAUUCCAAUGUGUGCGAAUCGGCAAAAAAUGCGGAAUAACCCUUUAACCGUACAUUUGACAGAUACGCGCGCAUGGACUUUUUUGUAGAUCUUAUUGAGAUACAUGUGUGUGUCAAUUUUUGUGUCAUUUUGACAAAGCGUACAGGCGUGACAGUCAACAAUGUGUAUUUUCACCUUAUGGGACAAGAAAAAAUGGACUUUUUUCUCCUGCCAUGGGGGGGCACUCUUUUGGGGAGUAAAAAUUCCUUCACAAAUGUGUUGAUGGCUGGACAUUGCAUCAUCCUAGAAAACUUGGAGGCCAGUGAGGGCAAAAAUAAAAAGUUAUAAGACUUUUAAAUAUGUGGAUUUUAGGGUUAUCUUUGGCGCCCCCUAGAACCUAAACCGUGGGGUGCAGCGUCAUGAUUUGAAUAACUUUUAAUGGCCAUGGGGUGUAGAUUGGCCUGAGCAAAUGUGGUGCCGGUGGAACGAAAGCCUUCGGAGGAGUUAGCGAAAUUCCAAUGUGUGCGGAUCGGCAAAAAAUGAGAAAUAACCCUUUAACCGUACAUUUGACAGAUACGCCCGCACUGACUUUUUUGUAGAUCUUAUUGAGAUACAUGUGUGUGUCAAUUUUUGUGUCAUUUUGACAAAGCGUACAGGCGUGACAGUCAAUAGUGUGAAUUUUCACCUUAGGGGGCGCUAUGGAGCCAUUUUGCAUUUUCUUGUUUGGGCGACUUCGGAAUAUCAAAUUUUUCACCAGGCCCGGUCGUCCUGCCAAAUUUCAUGAGUUUUCGCCAGUGGGAAGUGGGCCAUUUUCCAGUUCAAAGGGGAGGAAAAAGAAAAACUAGGACCCCGUUGGGGCACUGGCGGGCCCGAGCCGUGUCGCGUCCCCCCCCAACGUGCUGCCUCCCCGUCCCAUUUGUGUCCUCUGGCCAUCGCCCUCUCUGGUAACGCCCAUCACUGCAAAGACCCUUUUCCUUCAUCGGCGUUUGCUGUUCUUCCUGCCAGUGCGUGUUGCUUUCACUUACACUUGCCACAGCCAGCCUCGUGAGUGCCUAGCCUAUUGGAUAUCACUGUCACCUACACAGGACAGUCAUUACCUUUCUAUUAAUACUUUGUGUUUUAAUUUCACAUUAAUUUCCAUAUUGUAUAAACGACUGGAAAAAACUUGAGCCCCUGCCCCUGUAUAAUCAUGUGCAUGUCUCUGUUCUAGCUCCAAGGUGAAUCUUCACUGCUCAUGUUCUCCUCAGAAGCACUCACCUCACUCCCCUCAGGUUACUGUACACAUGCACCAACUGCCUGCUUCAGGUUUGGAUGGAGCUUCAUGGUUGUCUUUUGGAGAAAUGACCAGUCAAGUUGUGUUUGAAAUUUGAUUUUUUUCAGGGGCAAAAGGAGCCUCUGCAUUCUUGUCAAAUAUGUAAAUAGCAUGUUUUUGCAGGUGCUAAAAACCAGACUCUGAGUGUGUGUGUGUGUGUGUGUGUGUGUGUGUGUGUGUGUGCGUGUGUGUGUGUCUAUGUGUGCGUUCAAGUCACAUGACAUAUUUAACCUGAUGUAGCUGCAAGACGGAGCCUUGUUGACUCUCCGUUUCAACUUAUCUCAAAAGUGAGGACCUCAACCUAUAUACCAGUUUUUAAAUUGUGUUGAUAGGCCAAAUAAAACCAGAGUUAUGAUAAAUUAUGUCCGCGAUACUUUUUUUCUGCUUAUUUUGAUCACGUUCGGCGCUCGAUCGCGCUGUAUGAGACAGGAAAACAUAGCAUGCAGACAUUAGCGACAGGUCUUACAGGCGGAAAAGGCUUGCCAAAAGAAAAAAAAAACACACCACAACAUCUCUCCUAUUGGUGGAAAACUUCACCACAACAACCAAUCCAAAAUUAUAUGGUGACUGAUUGACAAGGGGCGGGCGCUUACGUUCUUCCUGCAACAUGAGAAGGGAGGGAGGGACUCUCAGCAGGGAUGCAGUCUGGGACACGUAGUUGCAAACCUAGCGACUUUGUUGUUAGAUUCAAUGACUUUUCAGACACCCUAAAGACUUUUUUUUAGAAAGAAAGGGACUUUUAUCGACUUCUUCUGGAGUUUAGAGACUCUGACAUGAAGCAGGCUUUCCUUACUGAGGAGUUAGCAACGCUGCUAAGGGUGCAGAGCCACACAUGCGCUCAGAGCUCUGCAUGGGAGACUGAAGCUGACAGAGCUGCAGCAGUUAGCAGGUUUCACCCUCAGAGACCACCAGGGGUUCAUGUUGAGGCAUUUUAAUUUUUUUUUUUUUGUGCCAUAGACACUGUCAGCAAAAUCUGCAGUUACACUAACAAAAAUGCUGCAAAAAACAAAGAAUUAUGGAAAAAUUACACAUGGACUGACAUAGAGGAGGAUCUACACAAGUUUUUUACAUCAUGUUUUACAUCAUGCAUCAUUUACAUCAUGUUUUUUUGUAGUGGCAUAAAUAAAAAGUGACAUUUGUGAGACUAUACAGUGUUUUGUAAAUAAUUUUACAAAGAACGCCUGGGCCAUUGCCUGCAUUUUGAUGUAAAUAGAGGUAAAUUACUAUGUUCUUUGUUAAAAAUUUGCAUAUGUUUUGAAGUUUACAAUUUUUAUUUGAAGUUUAAGUUUUAAAAACAGUUCAUCACACAUAUUUGUGGUUUAAUUUCACAUUAAUUUCCAUAUUGUAUAAAUGACUGGAAAAAACUUGAGCCCCUGCCCCUGUAUAAUCAUGUGCACGUCCCUGUUCUAGCUCCAAGGUGAAUCUUCACUGCUCAUGUUCUCCUCAGAAAUAGUCACCUCACUCCCCUCAGGUUACUGUACACAUGCACCAACUAUCUGCUUCAGGUUUGAAAUGGAGCUUCAUGGUUGUCUUUUGGAGAAAUGAACAGUCAAGUUGUGUUUGAAAUUUGAUUUUUUUCAGGGGCAAAAGGAAGCCUCUGCAUUCUUGUCAAAUAUGUAAACAGCAUGUUUUUGCAGGUGCUAAAAAACAGACUCUGAGUGUGUGUGUGUGUCUGUGUGUGUGUGUGUGUGUGUGUGUGUGUGUGUGUAUGUUGGCGUGUGUGUAUAUGUGUGUGUAUCCUGCAGUACUCUGUACUCCUGCAGUGGCCAAAAAGACUUUUAAGAAUGUGGAUUUUUGGGUCAUCUUUGGCGCCCCCUAGAACUGCAGUACUCUGUACUCCUGCAGUGGCCAAAAUGACUUUUAAGAAUGUGGAUUUUUGGGUCAUCUUUGGCGCCCCCUAGAACGUAAACCGUGGGGUGCAGCGUCAUGAUUUUUACAACUUUGAAUGGGCAUGGGGUGUAGAUUGCCCUGAGCAAAUUUGGUAUCGGUGGGACGAAAGCCUCAGGAGGAGAUAGCCACAUUCCAAUGUGUGCGAAUCGGCAAAAAAUGCAAAAUAGCCCUUUAACCGUACAUUAUACAGAUACGCGCUCUUUGACUUUUUCGUAGAUCUAAUUGAGAUACACAUGAUUGUCAAUUUUUGUGUCAAUAUGACAAAGCGUUCAGGCGUGACACUCAACAAUGUGUAUUUUUAUGGAAGGGGACAAGAAAAAAUUGACUUUUUUCUCCUACCAUGGGGGGGCGCUCUUUUGGGGAGUAAAAAUUCCUUCACAAAUGUGUUGAUGGCUGGACAUUGCAUCAUCCUAGAAAACUUGGAGGCCAGUGAGGACAAAAAUAAAAAGUUAUAAAACAUUUAAGAAUGUGGAUUUUUGGGUUAUUUUUGGCGCCCCCUAGAACCUAAACCAUGGGGUGCAGCAUCAUGAUUUGAAUAACUUUUAAUGGCCAUGGGGUGUAGAUUGGCCUGAGAAAAUGUGGUGCCGGUGGAACGAAAGCCUUCGGAGGAGUUAGCGAAAUUCCAAUGUGUGCGUAUCGGCAAAAAAUGCGGAAUAACCCUUUAACUGUACAUUUGACAGAUACGCGCGCAUGGACUUUUUUGUAGAUCUUAUUGAGUUACAUGUGUGUGUCAAUUUUUGUGUCAUUUUGACAAAGCGUAUAGGCGUGACACUCAACAAUGUGUAUUUUCACCUUAGGGGACAAGAAAAAAUGGACUUUUUUCUCCUGCCAUGGGGGGGCGCUCUUUUGGGGAGUAAAAAUUCCUUCACAAAUGUGUUGAUGGCUGGACAUUGCAUCAUCCUAGAAAACUUGGAGGCCAGUGAGGACAAAAAUAAAAAGUUAUAAGACUUUUAAAUAUGUGGAUUUUAGUGUUAUCUUUGGCGCCCCCUAGAACCUAAACCUUGGGGUGCAGCGUCAUGAUUUUGAUAACUUUUAAUGGCCACGGGGUGUAGAUUGGCCUGAGCAAAUGUGGUGUCGGUGGAACGAAAGCCUUCGGAGGAGUUAGCGAAAUUCCAAUGUGUGCGGAUCGGCAAAAAAUGCGAAAUAACCCUUUAACCGUAAUUUUGACAGAUACGGCCGCACUGACUUUUUUGUAGAUCUUAUUGAGAUACAUAUGUGUGUCAAUUUUUGUGUCAAUAUGACAAAGCGUACAGGCGUGACAGUCAAUAGUGUGAAUUUCCACCUUAGGGGGCGCUAUGGAGCCAUUUUGCAUUUUAUUGUUUGGGCGACUUCAGAAUAUCGAAUUUUUCACCAGGCCCGGUCGUCCUGCCAAAUUUCAUGAGUUUUCGCCAGUGGGAAGUGGGCCAUUUUCCAGUUCAAAGGGGAGGAAAAAGAAGAACUAGGGCCCCGUUGGGGCACUGGCGGGCCCGAGCCGUGUCACGCCGCCCCCAGCGCGACCGCCUCCCCCACCCGAUCGCGUCACACUCAAGGUCCAAAGAUGGUGUGCGCACUUGUUUGUGGUCAUUUACCAUUAUAAUGAACGGGAGGCGCAGUUUCUACCAAAACGCUCGCUGCAGAAAAACUCCAUGUCCUAUUUGAAAAAAGUCUGGACCAUGAGUGAGGGCACAAACACAGCUAAGAUAUAUCCAAAUGGCAAGUUGCUCCUCCUUUCGCUUUUGCCGAGAGAGCAGUGCGUUUGAGCCAUUGAAUGAUGAACAGGAAAAACUUGACUUUAUUCUCCUGCCAUGGGGGGGUGCUCUUUUAAAGAGAAAAAACUCCUUCACAAAUGUGUUGAUGGCUGGACAUUGCAUCAUCCUAGAAAACAUGGAGGCCAGUGAGGACAAAAAUAAAAAGUUACAAGACUUUUAAAUAUGUGGAUUUUAGGGUUAUAUUUGGCGCCCCCUAGAACCUAAAGCGUGGGGUGCAGCGUCAUGAUUUGAAUAACUUUUAAUGGCCAUGGGGUGUAGAUUGGCCUGAGCAAAUGUGGUGCCGGUGGAACGAAAGCCUUCGGAGGAAUUAGCGAAAUUCCAAUGUGUGCGAAUCUGCAAAAAAUGCGAAAUAACCCUUUAACCAUACAUUUUACAGAUACGUGGCCAUUGACUUUUUCGAAGAUCUUAUUGAAAUACACGUGUAUGUAAAAUUUUGUUUCAAUACGACAAAACAUACAGGCGUAGCACUCAACAAUGUGUAUUUUCACCUUAGUGGACAAGAAAAAAUUGACUUUUUUCUCCUGCCAUGGGGGGGCGCUCUUUUGCCGAGUAAAAAUUCCUUCACAAAUGUGUUGAUGGCUGGACAUUGCAUCAUCCUAGAAAACUUGGAGGCCAGUGGGGACAAAAAUAAAAAGUUAUAAGACUUUUAAAUAUGUGGAUUUUACGGUUAUCUUUGGCGCCCCCUAGAACCUAAACCGUGGGGUGCAGCGUCAUGAUUUGAAUAACUUUUAAUGGCCAUGGGGUGUAGAUUGGCCUGAGCAAAUGUGGUGCCGGUGGAACGAAAGCCUUCGGAGGAGUUAGCGAAAUUCCAAUGUGUGCAGAUCGGCAAAAAAUGCGGAAUAACCCUUUAACCGUACAUUUGACAGAUACGCGCGCAUUGACUUUUUCGUAGAUCUUAUUGAGAUACAUGUGUGUGUCAAUUUUUGUGUCAUUUUGCCAAAGCGUACAGGUGUUACACUCAACAAUGUGUAUUUUCACCUUAGGGGACAAGAAAAAAUGGACUUUUUUCUCCUGCCAUGGGGGGGCGCUCUUUUGGGGAGUAAAAAUUCCUUCACAAAUGUGUUGAUGGCUGGACAUUGCAUCAUCCUAGAAAACUUGGAGGCCAGUGAGGGCAAAAAUAAAAAGUUAUAAGACUUUUAAAUAUGUGGAUCUUAGGGUUAUCUUUGGCGCCCCCUAGAACCUAAACCGUGGGGUGCAGCGUCAUGAUUUGAAUAACUUUUAAUGGCCAUGGGGUGUAGAUUGGCCUGAGCAAAUGUGGUGCCGGUGGAACGAAAGCCUUCGGAGGAGUUAGCGAAAUUCCAAUGUGUGCGGAUCGGCAAAAAAUGCGAAAUAACCCUUUAACCGUACAUUUGACAGAUACGCCCGCACUGACUUUUUUGUAGAUCUUAUUGAGAUACAUGUGUGUGUCAAUUUUUGUGUCAUUUUGACAAAGCGUACAGGCGUGACAGUCAAUAGUGUGAAUUUUCACCUUAGGGGGCGCUAUGGAGCCAUUUUGCAUUUUCUUGUUUGGGCGACUUCGGAAUAUCAAAUUUUUCACCAGGCCCGGUCGUCCUGCCAAAUUUCAUGAGUUUUCGCCAGUGGGAAGUGGGCCAUUUUCCAGUUCAAAGGGGAGGAAAAAUAAUAAUAACUAGGACCCCGUUGGGGCACUGGCGGGCCCGAGCUGUGUCGCGUCCCCCCCCCCAACGCGCUGCCUCCCCGUCCCAUUUGUGUCCUCUGGCCAUCGCCCUCUCUGGUAACGCCCAUCACUGCAAAGACCCUUUUCCUUCAUCGGCGUUUGCUGUUCUUCCUGCCAGUGCGUGUUGCUUUCACUUACACUUGCCACAGCCAGCCUCGUGAGUGCCUAGCCUAUUGGAUAUCACUGUCACCUACACAGGACAGUCAUUACCUUUCUAUUAAUACUUUGUUUUUUAAUUUCACAUUAAUUUCCAUAUUGUAUAAACAACUGGAAAAAACUUGAGCCCCUGCCCCUGUAUAAUCAUGUGCACGUCUCUGUUCUAGCUCUAAGGUGAAUCUUCACUGCUCAUGUUCUCCUCAGAAGCAGUCACCUCACUCCCCUCAGGUUACUGUACACAUGCACCAACUGCCUGCUUCAGGUUUGGAUGGAGCUUCAUGGUUGUCUUUUGGAGUAAUGACCAGUCAAGUUGUGUUUGAAAUUUGAUUUUUUUCAGGGGCAAAAGGAGCCUCUGCAUUCUUGUCAAAUAUGUAAAUAGCAUGUUUUUGCAGGUGCUAAAAACCAGACUCUGAGUGUGUGUGUGUGCGUGUGUGUGUGUGUCUGUGUGUGUGUGUGUGUGUGUGUGUGCGUUCAAGUCACAUGACAUAUUUAACCGGAUGUAGCUGCAAGACGGAGCCUCGUUGACUCUCCGUUUCAACUUAUCUCAAAAGUGAGGACCUCAACCUAUAUACCAGUUUUUAAAUUGUGUUGAUAGGCCAAAUAAAACCAGAGUUAUGAUAAAUUAUGUCCGCGAUACUUGUUUUCUGCUUAUUUUGAUCACGUUCGGCGCUCGAUCGCGCUGUAUGAGACAGGAAAACAUAGCAUGCAGACAUUCGCGACAGGUCUUACAGGCGGAAAAGGCUUGCCAAAGGAAAAAAAAAACACACCACAACAUCUCUCCUAUUGGUGGAAAACUUCACCACAACAACCAAUCCAAAAUUAUAUGGUGACUGAUUGACAAGGGGCGGGCGCUUACGUUCUUCCUGCAAUAUGAGAAGGGAGGGAGGGACUCUCAGCAGGGAUGCAGUCUGGGACACGUAGUUGCAAACCUAGCGACUUUGUUGUUAGAUUCAAUGACUUUUCAGACCCCCUAACGACUUUUUUUUAGAAAGAAAGUGACUUUUAUCGACUUCUUCUGGAGUUUAGAGACUCUGACAUGAAGCAGGCUUUCCUUACUGAGGAGUUAGCAACGCUGCUAAGGGUGCAGAGCCACACAUGCGCUCAGAGCUCUGCAUGGGAGACUGAAGCUGACAGAGCUGCAGCAGUUAGCAGGUUUCACCCUCAGAGACCACCAGGGGUUCAUGUUGAGGCAUUUUCAGUUUUUUUUUUUUGCCAUAGACACUGUCAGCACAAUCUGCAGUUACACUAACAAAAAUGCUGCAAAAAACAAAGUCCAUGUGUAAUUUUUCCAUAAUUCUAACAGAGGAGGAUCUACACAAGUUUUUUACAUCAUGUUUUACAUCAUGCAUCAUUUACAUCAUGUUUUUUUGUAGUGGCAUAAAUAAAAAGUGACAUUUGUGAGACUAUACAGUGUUUUGUAAAUAAUUUUACAAAGAACACCUGGGCCAUUGCCUGCAUUUUGAUGUAAAUAGAGGUAAAUUACUAUGUUCUUUGUUAAAAAUUUGCAUAUGUUUUGAAGUUUACAAUUUUUAUUUGAAGUUUAAGUUUUAAAAACAGUUCAUCACACAUAUUUGUGGUUUUCACAGUAAAAACGUUACUUUUUUCCACUCGGAUUUUAUGUUUUGUGUGUGAAUUUGGGUCCAAUGUGUAAAUAUAGUAUGUCAAAAUGAUAAAAUAACUGUAAAUUGACACAGGUGAGGUUGUGCUGAAAAAAAUGAUACCAGGCAAGGCAAGGUAAAAAUUUUGUAAGAGGAAAUAUAAAGGUAAAAUCUAAAGUAGUCAAAAACGGCCAAUAGUGACUCACAGACUCCACAGACAAGUCCCUUUGGCGCCACUCAGUGGGCAAAACUACUUUGUCUACUGUAAUGUAUAUUUGGGUCAUCUUUGGCGCCCCCUAAAACGUAAACCGUGGGGUGCAGCGUCAUGAUUUUUACAACUUUGAAUGGCCAUGGAGUGUAGAUUGGCCUGAGCAAAUUUGGUGUCAUUGGGACGAAAGCCUUAGGAGGAGUUAGCGAAAUUCCAAUGUGUGCGAAUCGGCAAAAAAUGCAAAAUAGCCCUUUUACCGUACAUUAUACAGAUACGCGCUCUUUGACUUUUUCAUAGAUCUAAUUGAGAUACACAUGAUUGUCAAUUUUUGUGUCAUUUUGCCAAAGCGUACAGGCGUGACAGUCAACAAUGUGUAUUUUCACCUUAGGGGACAAGAAAAAAUGGACUUUUUUCUCCUGCCAUGGGGGGCGCUCUUUUAGGGAGUAAAAAUUCCUUCACAAAUGUGUUGAUGGCUGGACAUUGCAUCAUCCUAGAAAACUUGGAGGCCAGUGAGGACAAAAAUAAAAAGUUAUAAGACUUUUAAAAAUGUGGAUUUUUGGGUUAUCUUUGGCGCCCCCUAGAACGUAAACCGUGGGGUGCAGCGUCAUGAUUUGAAUAACUUUUAAUGGCCAUGGGGUGUAAUUUGGCCUGAGCAAAUGUGGUGCCGGUGGAACGAAAGCCUUCGGAGGAGUUAGCGAAAUUCCAAUGUGUGCGGAUCGGCAAAAAAUGCGGAAUAACCCUUUAACCGUACAUUUGACAGAUACGCGCACAUUGACUUUUUCGUAGAUCUUAUUGAGAUACACGUGAUAGUCAAAUUUUGUGUCAAUAUGACAAAGCGUACAGGUGUCACACUCAACAAUGUGAAUUUUCACCUUACGGGACAAGAAAAAAUUGACUUUUUUCUCCUGCCAUGGGGGGGCGCUCUUUUGGGGAGUAAAAAUUCCUUCACAAAUGUGUUGAUGGCUGGACAUUGCAUCAUCCUAGAAAACUUGGAGGCCAGUGAGGGCAAAAAUAAAAAGUUAUAAGACUUUGAAAUAUGUGGAUUUUAGGGUUAUCUUUGGCGCCCCCUAGAACCUAAACCGUGGGGUGCAGCAUAAUGAUUUGAAUAACUUUUAAUGGCCAUGGGGUGUAGAUUGGCCUGAGCAAAUGUGGUGCCGGUGGAACAAAAGCCUUCGGAGGAGUUAGCGAAAUUCCAAUGUGUGCGGAUCGGCAAAAAAUGCGCAAUAACCCUUUAACCGUACAUUUGACAGAUACGCCCGCACUGACUUUUUUGUAGAUCUUAUUGAGAUACAUGUGUGUGUCAAUUUUUGUGUCAUUUUGACAAAGCGUACAGGCGUCAGGUGAAUUUUUCACCUUAGGGGGCGCUAUGGAGCCAUUUUGCAUUGUAUUGUUUGGGCGACUUCAGAAUAUCAAAUUUUUCACCAGGCCCGGUCGUCCUGCCAAAUUUCAUGAGUUUUCGCCAGUGGGAAGUGGGCCAUUUUCCAGUUCAAAGGGGAGGAAAAAGAAAAAAGAAACAAAGAAAAACCACUUGGGGAAUAAUAGGGCUCUCGCAGCUGCUUAGCAGCUACGCUCGGGCCCUAAUAAUAAUAACAAAAGAAGGAAACUACAGGAACAAGAGGGCUCUCGCAGCUGCUUAGCAGCUACGCUCGGGCCCUAACUAGGACCCCGUUGGGGCACUGGCGGGCCCGAGCCGUGUCGCGUCCCCCCCCCCCCCCCCAACGUGCUGCCUUCCCGUCCCAUUUGUGUCCUCUGGCCAUCGCCCUCUCUGGUAACGCCCAUCACUGCAAAGACCCUUUUCCUUCAUCGGCGUUUGCUGUUCUUCCUGCCAGUGCGUGUUGCUUUCACUUACACUUGCCACAGCCAGCCUCGUGAGUGCCUAGCCUAUUGGAUAUCACUGUCACCUACACAGGACAGUCAUUACCUUUCUAUUAAUACUUUGUGUUUUAAUUUCACAUUAAUUUCCAUAUUGUAUAAACGACUGGAAAAAACUUGAGCCCCUGCCCCUGUAUAAUCAUGUGCAUGUCUCUGUUCUAGCUCCAAGGUGAAUCUUCACUGCUCAUGUUCUCCUCAGAAGCACUCACCUCACUCCCCUCAGGUUACUGUACACAUGCACCAACUGCCUGCUUCAGGUUUGGAUGGAGCUUCAUGGUUGUCUUUUGGAGAAAUGACCAGUCAAGUUGUGUUUGAAAUUUGAUUUUUUUCAGGGGCAAAAGGAGCCUCUGCAUUCUUGUCAAAUAUGUAAAUAGCAUGUUUUUGCAGGUGCUAAAAACCAGACUCUGAGUGUGUGUGUGUGUGUGUGUGUGUGCGUGUGUGUGUGCGUGUGUGUGUGUCUGUGUGUGCGUUCAAGUCACAUGACAUAUUUAACCUGAUGUAGCUGCAAGACGGAGCCUCGUUGACUCUCCGUUUCAACUUAUCUCAAAAGUGAGGACCUCAACCUAUAUACCAGUUUCUAAAUUGUGUUGAUAGGCCAAAUAAAACCAGAGUUAUGAUAAAUUAUGUCCGCGAUACUUUUUUUCUGCUUAUUUUGAUCACGUUCGGCGCUCCGAUCGCGCUGUAUGAGACAGGAAAACAUAGCAUGCAGACAUUAGCGACAGGUCUUACAGGCGGAAAAGGCUUGCCAAAAGAAAAAAAAACACACCACAACAUCUCUCCUAUUGGUGGAAAACUUCACCACAACAACCAAUCCAAAAUUAUAUGGUGACUGAUUGACAAGGGGCGGGCGCUUACGUUCUUCCUGCAACAUGAGAAGGGAGGGAGGGACUCUCAGCAGGGAUGCAGUCUGGGACACGUAGUUGCAAACCUAGCGACUUUGUUGUUAGAUUCAAUGACUUUUCAGACACCCUAACGACUUUUUUUUAGAAAGAAAGGGACUUUUAUCGACUUCUUCUGGAGUCUAGAGACUCUGACAUGAAGCAGGCUUUCCUUACUGAGGAGUUAGCAACGCUGCUAAGGGUGCAGAGCCACACAUGCGCUCAGAGCUCUGCAUGGGAGACUGAAGCUGACAGAGCUGCAGCAGUUAGCAGGUUUCACCCUCAGAGACCACCAGGGGUUCAUGUUGAGGCAUUUUAAUUUUUUUUUUUUUGUGCCAUAGACACUGUCAGCAAAAUCUGCAGUUACACUAACAAAAAUGCUGCAAAAAACAAAGAAUUAUGGAAAAAUUACACAUGGACUGACAUAGAGGAGGAUCUACACAAGUUUUUUACAUCAUGUUUUACAUCAUGCAUCAUUUACAUCAUGUUUUUUUGUAGUGGCAUAAAUAAAAAGUGACAUUUGUGAGACUAUACAGUGUUUUGUAAAUAAUUUUACAAAGAACGCCUGGGCCAUUGCCUGCAUUUUGAUGUAAAUAGAGGUAAAUUACUAUGUUCUUUGUUAAAAAUUUGCAUAUGUUUUGAAGUUUACAAUUUUUAUUUGAAGUUUAAGUUUUAAAAACAGUUCAUCACACAUAUUUGUGGUUUAAUUUCACAUUAAUUUCCAUAUUGUAUAAAUGACUGGAAAAAACUUGAGCCCCUGCCCCUGUAUAAUCAUGUGCACGUCCCUGUUCUAGCUCCAAGGUGAAUCUUCACUGCUCAUGUUCUCCUCAGAAAUAGUCACCUCACUCCCCUCAGGUUACUGUACACAUGCACCAACUAUCUGCUUCAGGUUUGAAAUGGAGCUUCAUGGUUGUCUUUUGGAGAAAUGAACAGUCAAGUUGUGUUUGAAAUUUGAUUUUUUUCAGGGGCAAAAGGAAGCCUCUGCAUUCUUGUCAAAUAUGUAAACAGCAUGUUUUUGCAGGUGCUAAAAAACAGACUCUGAGUGUGUGUGUGUGUCUGUGUGUGUGUGUGUGUGUGUGUGUGUGUGUGUGUGUGUAUGUUGGCGUGUGUGUAUAUGUGUGUGUAUCCUGCAGUACUCUGUACUCCUGCAGUGGCCAAAAAGACUUUUAAGAAUGUGGAUUUUUGGGUCAUCUUUGGCGCCCCCUAGAACUGCAGUACUCUGUACUCCUGCAGUGGCCAAAAUGACUUUUAAGAAUGUGGAUUUUUGGGUCAUCUUUGGCGCCCCCUAGAACGUAAACCGUGGGGUGCAGCGUCAUGAUUUUUACAACUUUGAAUGGGCAUGGGGUGUAGAUUGCCCUGAGCAAAUUUGGUAUCGGUGGGACGAAAGCCUUAGGAGGAGAUAGCCACAUUCCAAUGUGUGCGAAUCGGCAAAAAAUGCAAAAUAGCCCUUUAACCGUACAUUAUACAGAUACGCGCUCUUUGACUUUUUCGUAGAUCUAAUUGAGAUACACAUGAUUGUCAAUUUUUGUGUCAAUAUGACAAAGCGUUCAGGCGUGACACUCAACAAUGUGUAUUUUUAUGUAAGGGGACAAGAAAAAAUUGCCUUUUUUCUCCUACCAUGGGGGGCGCUCUUUUGGGGAGUAAAAAUUCCUUCACAAAUGUGUUGAUGGCUGGACAUUGCAUCAUCCUAGAAAACUUGGAGGCCAGUGAGGACAAAAAUAAAAAGUUAUAAAACAUUUAAGAAUGUGGAUUUUUGGGUUAUUUUUGGCGCCCCCUAGAACCUAAACCAUGGGGUGCAGCAUCAUGAUUUGAAUAACUUUUAAUGGCCAUGGGGUGUAGAUUGGCCUGAGCAAAUGUGGUGCCGGUGGAACGAAAGCCUUCGGAGGAGUUAGCGAAAUUCCAAUGUGUGCGUAUCGGCAAAAAAUGCGGAAUAACCCUUUAACUGUACAUUUGACAGAUACGCGCGCACUGACUUUUUUGUAGAUCUUAUUGAGUUACAUGUGUGUGUCAAUUUUUGUGUCAUUUUGACAAAGCGUAUAGGCGUGACACUCAACAAUGUGUAUUUUCACCUUAGGGGACAAGAAAAAAUGGACUUUUUUCUCCUGCCAUGGGGGGCGCUCUUUUGGGGAGUAAAAAUUCCUUCACAAAUGUGUUGAUGGCUGGACAUUGCAUCAUCCUAGAAAACUUGGAGGCCAGUGAGGACAAAAAUAAAAAGUUAUAAGACUUUUAAAUAUGUGGAUUUUAGUGUUAUCUUUGGCGCCCCCUAGAACCUAAACCUUGGGGUGCAGCGUCAUGAUUUGAAUAACUUUUAAUGGCCACGGGGUGUAGAUUGGCCUGAGCAAAUGUGGUGCCGGUGGAACGAAAGCCUUCGGAGGAGUUAGCGAAAUUCCAAUGUGUGCGGAUCGGCAAAAAAUGCGAAAUAACCCUUUAACCGUAAUUUUGACAGAUACGGCCGCACUGACUUUUUUGUAGAUCUUAUUGAGAUACAUAUGUGUGUCAAUUUUUGUGUCAAUAUGACAAAGCGUACAGGCGUGACAGUCAAUAGUGUGAAUUUCCACCUUAGGGGGCGCUAUGGAGCCAUUUUGCAUUUUAUUGUUUGGGCGACUUCAGAAUAUCGAAUUUUUCACCAGGCCCGGUCGUCCUGCCAAAUUUCAUGAGUUUUCGCCAGUGGGAAGUGGGCCAUUUUCCAGUUCAAAGGGGAGGAAAAAGAAGAAAGAAAGAAAGAACUAGGGCCCCGUUGGGGCACUGGCGGGCCCGAGCUGUGUCACGCCGCCCCCAACACGACCGCCUCUCCCUCCCGAUCGCGUCACACUCAAGGUUCAACGAUGGUGUGCGCACUUGUCUGUGGUCAUUUACCAUUAUAAUGAAUGGGAGGCGCAGUUUCUACCAAAACGCUUGCUGCAGACAAACUACAUGUCCUAUUUGAAAAAAGUCUGGACCAUGAGUGAGGGCACAAACACAGCUAGGAUAUAUCCAAACGGCAAGUUGCUCCUCCUUUCGUUUUUUUCCGAGAGAGCGAUGUGUUUGAGCCAUUGAGCGAUGGGCAGGAAAAACUUGACUUUUUCUCCUGCCAUGGGGGGGCACUCUUUUAGGGAGAAAAAAUUCCUUCACAAAUGUGUUGAUGGCUAGACAUUGCAUCAUCCUAGAAAACUUUGAAGCCAGUGAGGACAAAAAUGAAAAGUUAUAAGACUUUUAAGAAUGUGGAUUUUUGGGUUAUCUUUGGCGACCCCUAGAACGUAAACCGUGGGGUGCAGCAUCAUGAUUUGUACAACUUUUAAUGGCCAUGGGGUGUAGAUUGGCCUGAGCAAAUUUGGUGCCGGUGGAACGAAAGCUUUAGGAGGAGUUAGCCACAUUCCAAUGUGUGCGAAUCAACCAAAAAUGCGAAAUAGCCCUUUAACCGUACAUUUUGCAGACACGAGCGCAUUGACUUUUUCGUAGAUCUUAUUGAGAUACACGUGAUUAUCAAAUUUUGUUUCAAUAUGACAAAGCGUACAGGCGUGACAUUCAACAAUGUGUAUUUUCACCUUAUAGGACAAGAAAAAAUGGCCUUUUUUCUCCUGCCAUGGGGGGGCGCUCUUUUGGGGAGUAAAAAUUCCUUCACAAAUGUGUUGAUGGCUGGACAUUGCAUCAUCCUAGAAAACUUGGAGGCCAGUGAGGACAGAAAUAAAAAGUUAUAAGACUUGUAAGAAUGUGGAUUUUUGGGUUAUCUUUGGCGCCCCCUACAACGUAAACCGUGGGGUGCAGCGUAAUGAUUUGUACAACUUUUAAUGGCCAUGGGGUGUAGAUUGGCCUGAGCAAAUGUGGUGCCGGUGGAACGAAAGCCUUCGGAGGAGUUAGCGAAAUUCCAAUGUGUGCGGAUCGGCAAAAAAUGCGAAAUAGCCCUUUAACCGUACAUUUGACAGAUACGCCCGCACUGACUUUUUUGUAGAUCUUAUUGAGAUACACGUGUGUGUCAAAUUUUGUGUCAUUUUGACAAAGCGUACAGGCGUGACACUCAAUCAUGUGAAUUUUUCACCUUAGGGGGCGCUAUGGAGCCAUUUUGCAUUUGAUUGUUUGGGUGACUUCAGAAUAUCGAAUUUUUCACCAGGCCCGGUCGUCCUGCCAAAUUUCAUGAGUUUUCACCAGUGGGAAGUGGGCCAUUUUCCAGUUCAAAGGGGCAGAAAAAUAAUAAGAAGAAGAAGAAGAACUAGGGCCCCGUUGGGGCACUGGCGGGCCCGAGCUGUGUCGCGCCGCCCCCAACGCGACCGCCUCUCCCUCCCGAUCGCGUCACACUCAAGGUCCAAAGAUGGUGUUCUCACUUGUCUGUGGUCAUUUACCAUUACAAUGAAUGGGAGGCGCAGUUUCUACCAAAACGCUCGCUGCAGACAAACUACAUGUCCUAUUUGAAAAAAGUCUGGACCAUGAGUGAGGGCACAAACACAGCUAGGAUAUAUCCAAAUGGCAGGUUGCUCCUCCUUACGGUGUUGCCUGGAGAGCGAUGCGAUUGAGCCAUUGAGCGAUGGGCAGGAAAAACUUGACUUUUUCUCCGGCCAUGGGGGGGGCGCUGUUUUGGGGAGUAAAAAUUCCCUCACAAAUGUGUUGAUGGCUAGACAUUGCAUCAUCCUAGAAAACUUGGAGGCCAGUGAGGACAAAAAUAAAAAGUUCUAAGACUUUUAAGAAUGUGGAUUUUUGGGUCCUCUUUGGCGCCCCCUAGAACGUAAACCAUGGGGUGCAGCGUCAUGAUUUUUACAACUUUUAAUGGCCAUGGGGUGUAGAUUGGCCUGAGCAAAUUUGUUGUCAGUGGGACGAAAUCCUUAGGAGGAGUCAGCCACAUUCCAAUGUGUGCGAAUCGGCAAAAAAUGCAAAAUAGCCCUUUAGCCGUACAGUUUACAGAUACGCGUGCAUUGACUUUUUCGUAGAUCUUAUUGAGAUACACGUGUGUGUCAAAUUUUUUGUCAAUAUGACAAAGCGUACAGGCGUGAAUCUCAACAAUGUGUAUUUUCACCUUAGGGGACAAGAAAAAAUUGACUUUUUUGUCCUGCCAUGGGGGGGCGCUCUUUUGGGGAGUAAAAAUUCCUUCACAAAUGUGUUGAUGGCUGGACAUUGCAUCAUCCUAGAAAACUUGGAGGCCAGUGAGGACAAAAAAAAAAAGUUAUAAAACUUUUAAGAAUGUGGAUUUUUGGGUUAUUUUUGGCGCCCCCUAGAACCUAAACCGUGGGGUGCAGCGUCAUGAUUUGUACAACUUUGAAUGGCCAUGGAGUGUAGAUUGGCCUGAGCAAAUGUGGUGCCGGUGGAACGAAAGCCUUCGGAGGAGUUAGCAAAAUUCCAAUGUGUGCGGAUCGGAAAAAAUGCGCAAUAACCCUUUAACCGUACAUUUGACAGAUACGCCCGCACUGACUUUUUUGUAGAUCUUAUUAAGAUACAUGUGUGUGUCAAUUUUUGUGUCAAUAUGACAAAGCGUACAGGCGUGACAGUCAAUAGUGUGAAUUUUCACCUUAGGGGGCGCUAUGGAGCCAUUUUGCAUUUUAUUGUUUGGGCGACUUCAGAAUAUCGAAUUUUUCACCAGGCCCGGUCGUCCUGCCAAAUUUCCUGAGUUUUCGCCAGUGGGAAGUGGGCCAUUUUCCAGUUUAAAGCGGAGGAAAAAUAAUAAUAAUAAUAAUAACAAAAGAAGAAUCCAUCAGGAACAAGAGGGCUCUCGCAGCUGCUUAGCAGCUACGCUCGGGCCCUAAAGAAGAAUCCAUCAGGAAUAAUAGGGCUCUCGCAGCUGCUUAGCAGCUACGCUCGGGCCCUAAAGAAAGAACUAGGGCCCCGUUGGGGCACUGGCGGGCCCGAGCCGUGUCACGCCGCCCCCAGCGCGACCGCCUCCCCCACCCGAUCGCGUCACACUCAAGGUCCAAAGAUGGUGUGCGCACUUGUUUGUGGUCAUUUACCAUUAUAAUGAACGGGAGGCGCAGUUUCUACCAAAACGCUCGCUGCAGAAAAACUCCAUGUCCU